rnacentral:lncRNA from 1 species
AGGUUUCAGAGAGAGUGGAGCAGCAGGAUUUGUUUCUGUUGUGUGUGGUCAAGAAAGCUAACCCCAAUUGUCCCAAACCAAAGAAAAGUCCCCUGGCUUGAGUAACCACAUAGCCCAGGGCAGAUAUAGUUUCAGGUACAGCUGCAUUCAGGGCUUGCUUUCUUUCCAUUGCUCAGCUCUGCCUUCUCCUGGGCUGAUUUUGGCCAUAAACUUCAGAGGCAGCAAGACCAGGGCAGUAGCUUCCGACUUUACUUGCUUGUGUCAUAACAUCUUUGGGCACAAGGACCUUUUUUCCUCCCGAGAAACCUCUACUGAAGCCUCAUGGAAUUUAAGCUCCAAUUGGUCAUCCCUCAUCACAUAUCACUUCUAGAGCUGAGGCCACCGCAGGGAGAGAGAUCAAGGGAAUGGGGGUUCCCAGAUGGAAAUUCAAGGCUGGGAUCAGAAGUCAGGAGGUGAGGUGAAGAGGAUGGAGAGUCCUCCCCAAACAAGCAUGGCCCCUGUGAGAUGGACCAGCAUCGUCCUCAGUGCUGGGCAUGUGGGGAAUCCAAGUGUUACCGCUUACUAGCUGUGUGACCCUGGGCAAGUCAUUGCAUAUCCCAAGUCCCAUGUGCUCAUCUGUCAAAGGAUUUCCCUCCAGAGCCUCUGGAAGAAAUAGAUCGCUGCUGAUGCCUUGAUUUUAGGGUUUCUGGCUUCCAGAACUGUAGGAGAAUGAGACUGUGUCAUGUUAAGCUACUGAGAGUGGUCCUUUGUUAUGAUAGCAAUAAGAAACAAUACAGAACUGUAGGUCAAAGGGAGAAGCGAAUGCCUAGAGUGUAGGGAUGUUGUAGGAGGUAGAGGUAACCUAAUUAGGUUGGGCACCACCUAUCACAGUGCCUGGCCUGGAGAAGUCCUUGCUAAGCGGUGGCUCUUGAUGGUGUCGAGGACCUCAAAGAUGAUGGUGAUGACAGGAGACCAUUGAGAUACUGACCUGGGGAUGUGUCUGCAAGUACACACAGAGGUCCUCUUGGUGCCUAAAGGAUGGGCUCACAUGCUUUUCAGGUGUCCAAAUCAAUCAGCAGUUAAAGAAUAAAAGGAGCUUAAGAAGAAAGCUUCAAGUGUCUCUUUUGGCACGAAAUGGAAUCCGUUAAAGUCUCCAAGGGAAAGUUUUCAUUCAAAUGCCACUGUUCAAUCUGAAUAUUUAAAAAUAUCUUCCUACUGUGCGUAUCCAGUUUCAGCUUCUUGGAAUGAAAAGUAGAUAACAAAAUUAAACAAACAGCUGCUUUCCUUGGCAUUUAACAACUCCCACUGGCUCCAUGUCACAAGCAAUCUUCCUUCUCUGAUAGAAGAAGUUCUGUGUUCUUUGGAGGAAAUAUUCUUGGGGGUCCAGUCAAUCCUGGAACCAACGAGAAUCCUUCCACUUGGUACUUCCUCUGACCAGAGCCCACGACGAGGUGCAAGGUCCUGAUAUCAGCCGUGGGCUGUGGUACCCAGGAUGGAGAGACUUCCUAUUGACCUGACCAUGGCCUUGUGGGUGGGCAGCCAGGGUGUCUGCCCACCUGAAAUUCCAGUUUGCAAAGUGUUUUUGCCUCUGUCAUUUCACUUGUUUUCCUGGCACCUCCAUGACUUAGACGUCGUGGAGGUGAGAAGGUUGAAGUUCAGAGAGAAAAUCCAAGUUUAAGCCACACAGUAAAUAAGUGUCUUGGACUAGAACCUCCAUCUCCUACCUGCCUACCUUCCCUGUUGCUGGUGUCAUGUAAAUUAAUAUUUGGAAUGCAAAUUGACGAAGAUACUAGGGUUGUUUAAGAAUGAAGAAUCUGUAUCUCAGACCUGUAUGGGCCAAGUGGUCUGCUAUAAGCUCCAGAAAAUACAUAUUAGUGGCACGCUUAUGGAAUUUACACGAGUUGUUUCCCAUCCCCUUCUGCCAACAGAAUCCUUAGAGGUCCAGGAUGAAAGGUUCCAUCUAAAGAAAGUCUUCUGUGCUGCCGCUCACUUCACAGCAAUUCCCACAGUGCAUUACAUGAAUCCCUUGUAUCACAACCUUCGUGCACACAUCCCACCUCCAGUGCUGGAAUAUGAGCUCCACAAGGACAGAGCUCCAUCUUUGCAUUUCUUCACCCACCGUGGUAUCCAACAGAGCACACAGUGCAUAGUAAGCACUCAGUAUGCUCUCAGGGAGAGGAUGCUCGGAUGGUGGCUGGCUUUUCUAUCCUGUCAGUUCAGCUCAAAUAGAUCUUGCAACAGAGGACCUACUUUAUCUGAGACAGGAAUGUCCUCCCCGCCCCCCAAGGGAACAGGCUUUGUUGAGUCAUGGAUCAUAUGACUGAUAUUCUUGGCACUUCACUUCUCUGAUGGCAUAAAUGUAGUUGAGGUGGCAUCUCUAUAAGAAACACAGAAAGCAAUGUUGUGUUUAAGGCUGAGCUGUAGAGAAAGGAUCGGAAUACCUGUUGCUUAAGCUACUGAGUGAGCCCAAUCUAGGGAAGAAACAGAUCAGGCACCAUUCCCUAGUCUUAAAUUUCAUGAUCAGGCACCUACUAUGUGCCAGAUAUGGCUCUUGACAUAAUCAUUGCCUUCCAGGAGGUCACUAUUCAAUGAAAGAGGCUGACCCAAAAAGCCAUGGAAAUAGGCUCAAAGAAGUCUGUAGAAGUGGAGAAGGGAAAAGUUGUUUCUGUCGUAAGAAUUCUCAGGGAAAGCUGAACUUUCCCCCUGAGUAGAGAUGGCCAGGGCAGGAACUGGACCCUGUGCUUCAAACACAUGGCUUGUGAUUCUACUUCAUUGUAACAGCCUGACCCACUCCUCUCUUGGUUUUACCUUUGAGCCUUCCUCCCUGCCUAGACUGAGUUCCCUGGGGACAGUAACUCUGUCUUCUGCACCUUCUCUUUCCUCUUCUACCUAAGGAGAGCCCUUGUAGGCUGGUAUACUCUAAGAUCAUGACCUUGGUCUUUGUGUCUUUUCUCAGUUCCCCAGGGCUGUGCUUGGAGUUAGUUUUUCCCUGGCUUUCCCCUGAGGGUUGGUCCUGAUGUGGGGUAUACCAUGUACAUCUUCAAGGAUGUGGGGCCUUGGAUGUGUGAUGGAGAGGGUGAUCACAGUCCCGUUCAGGCAGCCCUCACUCACCAAAGUCAAGGGAAGGAGUUCCCUUUCUCUGGACUUGACAUUUCAUGCUGGGAACUAACUCUGGGAAUGGCUCCUGGCCGCUGUGGACCUGAGCAAGGCGGUUGGGGCAGAUGCCUGGGGCAGCACUUCACUCCUUCUCUUUAUUUUCCUCUCUGCUUUAAGACCAGCAUCCAAAGCCAAGGCCAGGAUUGGAUGUCCCACACAGACAAUACAUCUUUCAGAUCGUUUGAAUUGGGAGGACUUUAGUUUUAGUUGCAGUAAUUGAUAAACUCUUAGAGACAGUGUUCUCUAGUCAAUUAGGUUGUCUUUUCUCUAAUGUCUAUGCUGUCUUCUCCAAAUCUAAUGGGGUGUAUUCAGCAUCCUAAGUGUGUCCUAUGGUCCAGAAGGUAUACUCAGCCCAUGUCACUCCAUCUGUGCUGUGAUGAAAUGCUGGAUUAUGGCUGCAGAAAGAUUAACAUGCCCCAGCUAAGAGAACACUUCUGAGAAAAUCACUGUCAAAGAGGUAAUUGUACAAGGUCACAAGCCUCCUCAGACCUUUCUUUUUCGCUCCCCUUCUUUAAUAUGACAGGAAGAGCGCAAGAGAGGCUGCAAGUAGCUGACUGCUGGGGCAAUGGGCCAGAUGCUUUAUAAAUUGCAGAGCCUUCCUUGUCUCUAUGCUUUGCCCAUUUUGCAUGCAGGUGCUAGGAUACAUUCCAGAUCCCUUACCCUGCAUCUAAGACUCCUUUCAGUGAGUACCAAACUCUUCUCUACGUUUAUCUCUAACCAUUUCUCUCUGACGCUGCAUUACAGGAAGUUGCACAAAAUAUUUCAAAAUGCUGUGCACUUUAAAAGGCUGAACUUCUGCACUGCUUGGAAGAGCCUCCAGCCUUUCAUUUGUAUGGAAAACCCCUAAUUAUUCUUCAAGACCUGACGCAGACAUUCCCUCUCAGUCAAAGCCAUGCCCUACUCCUCCAGGCAGAAUAAAUCUGUCUCAUCUCUGUGUUUUCAUAAUGCUUUGCUCAUCCAGAAUUAUAACACUUUGCACAUUGUAUUUCAGUAGUUUAUCUUUCAUUCCAUCUCUCCCACUGGUCUGCUAGCUCCUUGAGGACUGAGAACAUCUCACAUCUUAGUCUGGUAGUCUUAAGUCCUGGGCACAACACUGUUCUCGGCACAGAGGUGCUCAGUAAAUAUUCGUGGGAUGAAUGACUAAACUUGUUGGUACCUGUUGGAGUUUUUGAGAGGACAGCUGGUAAACAGUACCUCUCUCCCCCUCAGCUGAGUUCAGAACUAAAAGAGAGGGGCAGAAUUAGAACAAGGAAUAUCAAAAUAUCACUAAAAGUGGCGAGGUUGGAGGAUGAUGACAACUUAGUAGAGUCAAGAGGGCUUAUUAAUCCCUACCUCCAGUUUAGACCUUGGAACCACUGAACUGGGAGAAAAAAAUCAAAUCUGCAGACCAAGUUACAUCUUCUACUGGUAUGGGUUGAGAAGUAAAGAUAAAAGGGAGUAAUUGCCCCAACAAGAUAUUUGAUUUAUUUAAUUGAUAAAUAGUGGAACAUGAAUGCUGCCACCAAACUGUUCACUCUGCUUUCAUGGGAGUGGAGUUGGGGCUUUUCCAAAGGCCAAGGACAUUUAGAGACAGUCUCCCUACCUGGGAAUCAGGGGCCAGGAAAAGCUUUUCCCCUGUAACAAUAACUAUUUUGUAUUUUUUUCUUUGGCAGAACCUAUAGAAUGCAGAAUUUCCCAGGCAGUGGAUCAAACCUGAACCUCAGCAGUGACAACACCAAGUCCUUAACCACUAGGCCACUAGGGAACUUCCAGAUUUUUUUUCCUUUUUUUAAGGGAUGCACCUGUGGCACAUGGAGGUUCCCAGGCUAGAGGUCCAAUCAGAGCUAUAACUGCCAACCUGCGCCACAGCCACAGCAACACCAGAUCCGAGCCGUGUCUGUGACCUACAUCACAGCUCAUGGCAACACCGGAUCCUUAACCCACUGAGUGAGGCCAGGGAUUGAACCAGCAACCUUAUGGUUCCUAGUUGGAUUCAUUUCUGCUGCGCCACAAUGGGAACUCCCAGAUUUUUCCUUUUUAGGUGACUUUUAUUUUCUGCCUCAUCUGAGAACUCAUUCCCCAUUUCCAAGUCAGGCUUU